ensembl:misc_RNA Metazoa_SRP Metazoan signal recognition particle RNA
GCCGGACGCGAUGGUGUGCACCUACAGUUCCAGCUACUCGGGAGGCUUAGGAUGGAGAACUGCUUGAGUCCAGGAGUUCUGGGCUGCAGUGCCCUAUGCCAUCGGGUGUCCGCACUAGGUCUGGCAUCAAUACGUUGACCUCUCCGGAGUGGGGGGCCACCAGGUUGCCUACGGAGGGGUGAACUGGCCCAGGUCAGAAACGGAGCAGGUGGAAACUCCUGUGCUGAUCAGCAGUGGAACUGUGCCUGUGAACAGCCACUGCACUCCAGCCUGGGCGACACAGCAAGACUCUGUCUCUU